UACGGGGGGGGCAAGCGUUGUUCGGAAUUACUGGGCGUAAAGGGCUCGUAGGUGGCCAACUAAGUCAUACGUGAAAUCCCUCAGCUUAACUGGGGAACUGCGUCUGAUACUGGAUGGCUUGAGUUCGGGAGAGGGAUGCGGAAUUCCAGGUGUAGCGGUGAAAUGCGUAGAUAUUAGCUAGAACACCAGUGGCGAAGGCGGCCAACUGGUCCGGUACUGACGCUGAGGUGCGAAAGCGUGGGGAGCAAACAGG
rnacentral:rRNA from 1 species